ACUGCAGCUUCCAUUUCUGCUUGAGAUCCAUACCAGCUGGGAAAGGACUGUGGAUUUGGCACCAAAGAGGGUGUGCUAAUGUGGCAAGGAAGGCAGCAGAGUGUCUCUGCAGGGUGUGUGCACUCUCCCUUGCUGCAGCAGAGGAGAAUUUGUGGGUGUUUUCAAAGCCUCAAGGAGAUGCAUGUGGCCAUUUCUACCUUUGAGCCAAGCUUGCACCGCUCAGGAGAAGAAUCACCACAGGAAGACCUGGUUUGGUGUUGUGCUGGACACGUAUUUUGCUCUCUUCAUCUUAGCAGUUCAAUUUUGCCACCAGAUCUCGUUCUUGCUCUUUUUUUUUCCUCGGCAAGAAGCCUGCCCACAUCCUUCCCGAUUGCAUUAAAAAACCUCCUCCAGCUUGUAAAUAAACAUCGAG
rnacentral:lncRNA from 13 species